AUACAAGGAAAUUAUCGCUACACUUUUACAUAGAGUUGUCGACUGUACAUAUAUUUAUAUUCCCCGAGAAGGACACACACGUCAUCUUAGCGAGGGCGGCGUGUUUUGGGGUGGGCGCCCUUAUUAUUCUUUUCUGCAUCUUGGCGCCUCUUUACGUCCUGCGAGAAGUCGAGCAAUUCAAGCAAGUCGCAGAGUGGCAAAAAUCGCGAGUGCAGCAAUGAGGUCAGCGGGGCUCGAGUCGGGGGUGAAAGGGGGUGGCGGGCAUGCGCCAUAGCGAGCGGACACCAUCGAUUACCACGAGAGCGCUCGGUGAAAAGUGCAGCAGGGUGGGCCGUGGCUGCCAUUUAGCCGUGGAGUUUGCGGUGAACAGCAUUGGCCGAGGACGAGCGACGGGAGGCCAGUGUUGCGAUGAGGAGAGAGUGGCCAAGGUGACGUGAGCGAGCAUGUGCGACGUGCAGAAGAAGUUCCUCUGUCCCCGCCUGGCCGACUACCUGGCCAUCGUGGGAUGCAGGCAGCCGGCGCGAAACAACUCGGGUGCCAUCCAGGCGCCCGAGCUGCUGCGAAGGUACCCCGUGGAAGACCACAAGGACUUCCCACUGCCCCUCGACAUGGUCUACUUCUGCCAGCCUGAGGGAUGCGUUUCCGUCGGGCCACGCAAGACUGCUCUGAGGGAGGCCACCUCUUUUGUGUUCACACUCACUGAGAAAGACUCGGGCAAGACCCGCUAUGGCAUUUGCGUCAAUUUCUACCGGCCAAUUGAGCGUGCUGGCGCGCCAGGUUCGGCUGCAGGAGGCCGAGGGGACAGGUCAUCUAACUUCCGCAGGGAAUCUUGGCGGAAAAGCAUGGAAAAGAGCACGGAUUCUGCUUUCUCCAGCGACUACAGGAGCACGGUGGCGCCGAGCGACUCGGAGCGCGAGUGUAGUCGGCGCGAUUCCGAGAACCACCCGCCGCUCAUUCCUGGGCCGCCGCGGAUGGGCAGCCUGACGGCGCCGCCAAACGCGUGCGACUCGGAAAGCGGAGGUUCACACUCGCCGUCGCCUCGAGCGAGUCGGCGCCGCCAAAGGGUGCGGAACCAUUCACUGACCUCGUUGUGCCUGCUGUCGCACCACCCCUUCUUCUCCAAGUUCAGGGAGUGCAUGUUUGUACUGAAGCGCAUCAUUGACGCCUGCAACGACAACAUAUCGCCGAGACGGGUUGGUUCCAGACAGAUUGCAAGGGAUUCAGUUUGGAGCGUCUUGGCAGGCAACGUGCACGACAACAUUCCGAGCAUUGUAAUGCAUGACGUGCGCGAGAUUGAGACGUGGAUCUUGCGACUUUUGAGCGCCCCUGUGCCUGUCCCGGGAAAGACUCGUGUCGAGCUGGACAUCCUCCCCAGCUGCAUGCACCCACCCUUGUGCUUUGCACUGCCCGACCAUACCAGGUUCACCCUGGUCGACUUCCCUCUCCACCUUCCCCUGGAACUUCUUGGUGUCGAGACUUGCCUCAAAGUUCUUACUCUAAUUUUACUUGAAUACAAGCUGGUCUUGCAAUCACGGGACUACAACGCCCUGUCAAUGUCAGUGAUGGCCUUUGUAAACUUGAUCUACCCCCUUGAGUACAUGUUUCCUGUUAUCCCUCUGCUGCCUACUUGCAUGAGCUGCGCCGAGCAGCUUCUUCUAGCACCAACGCCCUACGUAAUAGGAGUGCCUGCCAGUUUCUUCAUGUACAAAAGGAAUUUCAAGCUACCUGAUGACAUAUGGUUGGUUGAUUUAGACUCAAACAAAAUAACACCACCCACUAGUGAAGAACUGCCUAAUCUUCCUGAGCCUGAGGGAACAAUCCUCAAAAAUCAUUUAAAACAGGCAAUGCAGCUAAUGGAUCAAGCUGGCGCAUUAAGCAAUAUGACUGCUGGAUUCAGUGGUCCACCCAUAGCAGAGCCUCCUCCACCGCCUGGUGUAAAGCCGAUGGCAGGGGGUGCCUUCAACCCUUUCAUCUACGGAAGCGACGUUGACAGCGUGGACGUCGCGACCAGAGUGGCAAUGGUGCGGUUCUUCAACUCGCAAAACCUUCUGGCCAACUUCACCGAACACACGCGGACACUGCGUCUCUACCCGCGUCCAGUGGUCGCCUUCCAGAUCAACAGCUUUUUACGCUCGAGGCCGCGCAACUCCAACUUCUUGAGUCGCUUCGCACGCACUCAAGCAGUCGAGUUCCUGGCCGAGUGGUCGCUCACCCCCAGCAACGUGGCAUUCUUGCGGGUGCACACUGGAAUUUUCGACCCAGCACAGAUCGGGGACAAAGCCAAGUGGUUCCAAAACAGUCUCGAGCCAAUGCACUUUGCCGCCUGGGACGAGAACAGCUCCCUAAGGGGCGCCCUGAAAGCGGCCCAGAAGGCAGAACACGCCCCGAAAACCGACGAAAGCGGGUCAGAUAGCGAAGGUGCCGAGAGCACCAGUUCGUCUUAUUCGUCGUUGAGCGACUUCGUGUCAGAAAUGGCCUCUUCCGACAUGUCUCCAACCUUUUCAGGUGUUCACGACCACACACCCAUGUCCCUGGGUUCGGGACUGGACGCAAAAUCAAUUUACCAUCCGCCGUCGGUUCUGCAGCUUCCGGGAGGAAAGGAUCAGGAGCUGACUGCUGGAGACGCGGGAGGUCAGCCUGGAUCGUCACCCCCCUCUACAUCCUCCAGCCGCAGUGACUUGAGUUCUCCCAGUUUUAACAGGGACUCUGAAUUGGAAUUCACCCCCAGGAUGAAAGAGGUUGAAGAGGGAGAGGCCAAGAAUGAAGCAAGCCCUGAGGAGUCUGACUCAAAUUCCACCACCGCCACUCCGAAAACGGUGGUAGCCGCACACCAAUCACCCCCACAGAGGCAAUCAAGCUUUACUAGUGUCUUGGCAAGAGCCUCGAGUCUUGGCUCGGCAGGUCGGCAGGGUAGUCAGACCUCCCUGCUUGAGCAUUUAACCACCCAGGCGAAAGAGUUGGUCAAAGAAACCACGAGGCAGAGCUCGCAAGAUGGGUUGCUCGCGCAAAUGGACAAAUUCAAGAUGCAAGCCCGAGAAAAAAUGGGCUCAACAGAUUCAGCUGGAAGUCACGACUCUGGAGAUUUAAGAGAAGUUUUUGCCCCUUUGGAACAGCUAACCAUGAAAGCAAAAAUGGCUGCCGAGGAAGCGGGCAAGAGUGUUCAUGAGGCAAGUAAGACUGCCAUUGAAGCUAGCAAAAGUGCGGCUGGAAUAAGCAAAAACACUCUUGGCGACUUGACAUACGUGGGCAAAACAACCCUAGGCGACUUUACGAAAAGUGCCAAAGAGGCUGCGUCGAAAAAGGGAUUGCUGAAGUGUCUGCCGCUCCAUCACCAGGGUAUGAUGCCACAGCAGCAGAAUCAACAGUCUCCACCGCCCACGGAGCAGCAGAGCACCUCCCUCGUGGCACCUGAGCUUGGAAGGACUGCCGGAAGGGACUUUUUCUCCAACUUCAGCAGUGAGAUGAACGGAAUUGCGGCGCAGACAACGAGCAUGUUCUCGAACAUGUUCGGCUCGAAGCGCACAGUAGCAGCCCCUUCCGUAAUUGCCAAAACAACUGCUAGCAUUGUCCAACAAAAGCCAAAGGAGCCUCCUCGGACGCAGCCUUUCGGUCCGUUUCCCACAGGACGAAAGGGGUUGGUGGAAAAAUCUUCGCUGAUCAAACACUCACCGCCAAGGAGGGAAGAAGUUCCGCGCGGAGAGAGAAAUACAACGAACGCUGAAAAUCAAGCUUUCCUUAAAGAUGUCAUAAAUCAAGUCUUGAUUGGAGAGGGAGUGGGUUGGCUCAAACUUAACAGGCUGAAGAAGCUGAUGGAGGAUGAAAGUUACAGAAAUCUCGUUCUGAGCAAGUUGAACAGGUCGUUGGAUAAGAAAGUCGGGCCUGACGAUCACAUUGAUGACAUCUGCGUCAGUCGAGCUGUGUGGAAAGGCAUGUUGAAAACGAUAUUGGCCGUGGUGCAUGGUUUGGAAGUAACAUACUCGAACUUUGGUCUCGGAGGAAUGGCUUCAGCUUUCCAGCUACUUGAGGUGACACAUACGCACUAUUGGUCAAGGGAUUUGAGCGAAAGUGCCAACACCCUUGAACUCAGCGGCGGAAGCUCGGCAGCGAUGCUUUCACAGGCUUCAAGUCCAUAUGGAAGUAAAGAGAAUCUAAGGUCACCUCACAGCCCUCAGGGGUCACCCAUCCCACCUGAUCACCACGACCUGAGCAGGAAAUCGUCCCACUCGGACGUUUCGGUUACGCCAAGAAGACUUUCCCAAAGUCACGGGGAAGAAGGAGGAGAGCAAAGUGCGGCAGAUGUUCUCAGAGACGUCCUCAAUCAGAAACGACACAUGCUCAUGGCUAAACUGUCAUCACAUGAUCAAGACAAUCAGCAGGCAGAAGACGCGGGCGAGGAGAGCGACGCAGGCAGUAUUAUCACAAAUCCCGCUUUUCUGCAGAGGCAGCGUCCUGGACAGCAAUCCUUCAGAAGCACGGUCUCUGAUAGCGAGAUUGAGCAGACAAACUUCCCACGCCAGGGGCGCCGCAACCCCAGCGUUUGGUCGAGCAAAUCCUCUCUCAGUUCAGGAUUCCGAAUCCCUGGUGCAAACAUGGUGCCAAACGUGGGCUCGCCAAGUCCUGAAUCCGGCAGAACAUAUCUGUACGAAGGCCUCCUUGGCAAGGAGCGGUCAACGUUGUGGGACCAAAUGCAGUUCUGGGAGGACGCGUUCUUAGACGCCGUGUCCCAAGAACGAGACAUGGUGGGCAUGGAUCAAGGCCCGAGGGAAAUGAUGGAAAGGUAUAGCCACUUGAGCGACACUGAACGAAAACGUCUCGAGCACGAGGAGGACAGACUUCUUGCCACGCUCUUAUACAACGUCACAGCCAUGAUGGUCAUGGUUGGAGUUGCGCGUCAAGAAAUAAAAAAUAAAGUACGCCGUCUUUUGGGGAAAAGUCAUAUUGGUCUGGUCUACAGCCAGGAAGUGCACGAGCUGCUUGACAAAAUCGGUCACUUUAACGGCAACGACAUUGACCUCCGGCCUCUCGGUUCUCGACAAAUGCACCGCCAGAGCUUCACAGUGCAUCAAGGCGUUGACUCGACUGGAAAUCUCCUUUUUCUGGAAGUCCGAGAGGACGGGCUGGUGCUGCGUUCGGUGAACGGCGCCAUUGUCGAAAGGUGGUGGUUUGAGAGACUGGUCAACAUGACCUACAGCCCCAAAACAAAGGUUUUGUGCCUCUGGAGGAGAAACGGGGGACAAACGCAGCUUCACAAAUACUACACAAAAAAGUGCAAGGAGCUGUACUACUGCAUAAAAGACGUGAUGGAAAAGGCGGCGGCGCGUGGCUGUGGCGCUCAGGCGGGCGUGGAGCUGGGUGGCGAGUUUCCGGUGCAGGACAUGAGGACCGGAGAGGGAGGUCUGCUGCAGGUCUGCAUGGAGGGAGUUGGACUUCUUUUUGCACAUAGCAAGUUUUUUGUACGACUAGAUCACAUCCGCAAGUGCUUUACUCAAAAGGGAGGAAUUUUUGUACUUGAAGAAUACAAUCCAAAAACUCGAAUGGUUUUACAAAGAAGAUACAAGUCUGCCAUGGUCGACGCAAUUUUGCUUGCGAUACACCGCGUCUUGUCUGUGCAAGUGGCACAGAGUAUUGAAAGCCACGCGCCAAGCCAAGUCAGCGAUCCGCAGCCUUAAAAAGCAUGUUCUUCUGCCUUUGUUUCGUUUUGCCUUAUUUGAGUUUCGCCCAUUGGCUGACCAAAUUUGCUAUGCAGUCCUGUGCGUGUUCUCUUACAUGGCUGCCGGACAGGAGCACCAGAAAAAGCAGCAGCACGCGUCCAAGACGACUGCCAAGCAAUAAAAUCAACGGCCUCCUAGAAAGACUCCCAAGUGAUUGACAAUAUCAAUAUCAUAUUCGCCGUGCAGCUCCACGAAAAAAAAUAUAUAACGGGAAAUUUAAAUGAUUGGACGUUUCUCUGCCUCUAAAACAAAAAUAUUAGAUGGAUGUACUUUUGUUUGACAGUCGACUCUUUGGCAAUAUACAUUAUUUUUUGUUCGAUGCAACACGCACUCGUCGCAAUCAUGCCAGGUUGUUAUGCGUAGAAGAGAAAAGCUAAAAGUUAAAUAAAUGCAGCAGCCUCGGCUUGAUAAAAUGUAAGGAAGCAGAUACCGUGCAGGGAGGAUCACUAAUAAUGUAAAUAUAGCAGCGCGUGUAGGUGUUAUGUACAGGGCAUAAAUAAAAGGAAAAUCCUGUUAGUAUAAAUCAAAGAUAUAUAUAUCACAGGAAAAACACAUUUGACUGUUUGAAUUCGGGACGAACAAAAGAAAAGAGAAUCUGCUGUUAUUGUAAAUAAACAGAAAGACCAUUAUGAGGAAACCGAAUUUGUGGCUUCUCAUUCU